AUUGUGAAAUUCGCCAUAAGAAGCAUGUGAUUGUGUAAUUAAAAAUUUAAAUUAUUAUAAAACUUUAGAAGUAUAAUUGAAAGAUCCUUAAUGUUUGAUGCUUCUGCAAUAUUUAAUUGAGUCAGUCAGCCAUUCAGCCAGCGAGAAGCAGCAACAACAGUAGCAGCAGCAGCGGCGACCGAGACAAAUGUCAGCUUAUGAAUUAAAAUGCCUUAUGAUGCUGAUUUUUUUAUCAGCAAUCUGUUCCCGCUGAAGUUCCUCUUCAUCCUGUCGGACAGACUAUAAAGCUGACUGAUAAUUGCGCAUGAUCUGCGCUUUGUGAACAAUUUGUUUUUGUCUCUGACACACGAUGAGCUUUACGAUGUUCCAUUCAUAUUCCAACCCCAAAUUCAAAUGGUUUAAUAUCUUCUUCGUUGGGAAUUGAUUACACGGAAACACUUGUCACGGGUGUAAGUGAAGCUUAUUUCUUGCCACUUUAUGUCACUAACUCGAGGCGGUGUUAUGUGGCGCGAGGGGAGAAGGGAAGAUUGUGACAGCUUUAAGGUACUUGGUGUCAUCUCUCUCUCUUUGGGUCUCUUGUCGAAUCACUUGAGCAGCCUUGUAAAUGCAAACCACUUGAUAAUGAGCAUGUCGCUAUAACAGCAAGGACGGACGUCACGCCCCCCGUUUGCUGCUGACCUCUGGGCGGCCAUUUAAUCACUAAUUACAUGCACCGUUGCCAGGGCGAACAAUCAGCCAGCAGUCACCUGGGGUCAUAAUUAGUGUAAGCAAAUGUAGAAAGAAGAAAUCUUAGACCUGGCUAAAGACGAAAACAAAGAAAAUAGAAAACGUGCCAUGAAAAAAAAAGAAAACAAAAAGAGAAAAAGAAAAAAUCCAAAUAGAGACAGCGAGCGAGAGACCCAAAGACUCAAACUGUGCACAAAGUUGCGGCCAGGACAAGUAGAUGUCUCAGUCUUCUGUGUGUUUGUUGCUGCUCAGCUUCUUCACAGCGCAUUUGCUGGCCAAAAGGUGUGAAAAUACAAACAGUUAGCUUCUUUGGCUAUGGCUUUGGCUGCAUCCUUGGUGUUUAUCGUGUUAUUUCUGUUUUGCCUUUCUUUUUCUGCUUUGUGUUUCUUUUUUUUUUUUGCCAUCUCCCAUGCGAAACUGUAAUUAAAAUUAAUUGGAGGCUUCUCUUGUGGUCAAGCUGUGAGCUGUGCUGCUGAGCUGAGCUGUGAACGGAGCGAAGCUGUGGCGCUUAAUUAACGCGUCCCGCAUCAAAUUUACUAAUGAAUUUUGCCCUUUAAAAUUCAUAGAGCAAAGCUUAAAGACAAUUCAGUUGUGUCGACUUUGUUGUUUACGUUUGCUGCCAUGGCUUCAAACUUAAGCGAAAGUAUCCCAAAAGCGCACUAAACAAAACAGUCAAUAAAUUGUUUACAUGGCAAAUUGAUCCCAAGCGUGCAUUAGAUGAGAAAAAAUGAGUUGACUUUGAGUGAAAAUAACAACAAGUCGGAGAAACGUUGGGGCCCAGCCACUGCUCAACUAGUGCUAAAAACAACUCUGCAGUCAAGGCAUUUUAGUUGUGGCGUUGCUUUGGACGUUUGGGACAUUCAUAAAUAUUGGGAUCUAGACUAAAGAAGCACAGCAAAAGUAAUGUUUUAAAUCUACAUCAGCUGAUGGAGUAAAUAACUUGAAGUGUUGCAGCAAGACA